AUCGAUGAAGGACGCGGCAAUAUGCGAUAAUUCGUACGCAUUGCAGAAUCAAGCGUAGUACUAAACCUUUGAACGCAACAUGUGUGCUGGGUCUCGCACUCAAGCACGUC
rnacentral:rRNA from 13 species